UGUAAAGGGUUUGUGUGUCAGAGAGAAAGAUCUUGAAGGGAUCAACAUUUUCCCCAUUUUUUUUAUUUUUAGGAGACUGUUUCAUUAGCAAGAAAGCAAAUAAAAGGAGAGCAUAACAAUCACAAGACUGCACAUUUACACUCUGGCUGCUCAACUGUCUUAGUCAAGUGUAAGGAAAGCAGCUACAAUUCUGAUCAUUAUCAAAAUAUGUCAGAUAUGUAUUUUUUUUCCCCCAAUCUGUCAAGAGCUGUCUAGGGUCUUCAGUGUGUUGGGCACUGGGAACAAACUUAUGAGGUGGACCAGACACCUUACAGUAAAUUAACUUUACUUGGGUCCAUAGGUGAUCCUUUGUGAGCUGUACCAGGUCCCUGGAGCUAAACUCUUUCUUGUGCACAUUCAAUGGAUUGGACCACAAGUAAUCUGCGUACAACGUAUACGUUUGACACUGAGGAUGAACAAUAGUAAGAUAAGAGAUCUUCAACCUUAGUAACUUAGAUUGUGGACUUCAACUCCCAGAGUUCCUCAUUCAGCAAAGCAGGAAGUCAAAGCAAGCUGUAAUUAGUAGCUGAAGAAAAACGCAUGCCGUGCCCGAAAGGAGCAGUAAUUAUAGAAGAGACAAGCAGACACAUGAAACUGUCUACUCUCUAAAUGACAUUAAGAAAAAAACUUGGAAAGGGAUGAGGAAACCCUGGGUACUUAUUCAGAGUUCUACAUAGUACUUGCAUCAGAUACCUGAGAUAUUUCAGCUGGAUUGUUUUUCAUAAGAGCACCCGGAAUGCGAUGUCACACAAAAUGACUGGUUUCUCCCAACCUGGAAUAUGAGCUUUUGUUCAGUUUCAGCUCCAGUGUGCCUGCACCUUAUUCCUUUAUGAGCUCUUCAGAUGAAAAGAGAAAUGGGUGGCUGGAGCUUCCAUUUGCUUAUCAAGUUAAUCAGAACACAAAGCAAUAGCACUUAGACUUAUAUACCUCUUCACAGUGCUUUACAGCCCUCUCUAAGCAGUUUACAGAGUCAACAUAUUUUCCCCAACGAUCUGGGUCCUCAUUUUACUGACCUUGGAAGGAUGGAAGGCUGAGUCAACUUUGAGCCUGAUGAGAUUCGAUCUGCCAAACUGCUGGCAGCCAGUGAUCAGCAGAAGUAGCUGCAGUACUGCACUCUAACCACUGCGCCACUUAGCCUCAUUUUCUGGAUCCAGGUGUGAUUUUCUAUCCAACUACAACUGUAUAGAAGUCUCUGUCUGUACUGCAUGUUAUACCACAAUGCUCUGAUAAGUCAGUGUUAGUUAUCUUGGUACAAGAUUGGUCUUUGUAGAACUCUGUAGCUUGUUUUGAAGUGAGUUUAUUAAAAGCAUGCACCCUUUUUUUGAAUUGAAUCUGUUUUAUUACUGUGACUAUUACCCUACACCUUAUUAGCAUAAGCUCCCUAUUUAUUUAUUUAUUUAUUUAUUUAUUUAUUCAUUCUGAAGAAAAACAUAUUUAUAUCUGAAAGCAGAAAUAGAAUAUGACAGCUCUGCUUUAAAAGAAAAUAUUUCAGGCACAUGAGCAUUUUCCAGAAUGAAUGAGAUUCCGGAAGCCUCAAUUUCACUGUAUUUUCUUGUUUCACCUUCAUGUUAUUAUUAUUUUUUAUUUAUUUGUUAAAUACGUAUUAGAUAAUAUAUAUAAGUAUAAGCAUGAAUUGAAUACAUAAAAUGAAUACAAUUAAAGGAACAUUAGGACAGGGACGGUAGGCACGCUGGUGCUCUUAUGUAAGGUGCCCUUACAGACCUCUUAGGAAUGGCGUGAGUUCAACAUUAGCCAGUAUUAGGUUAAAAUUUUGGGGAUUUCGGGAUGAAACCACAGUAGUGCAUUCCAGGCAUUGACGACCCUCUUGCUGAAAUCAUAUUUUCUGCAAUUGAGUUUGGUGUGGUUUACCUUAAGUUUGUAUCUAUUGUGUGCUCGUGCAUUGUUGUGUAUUGUGUAUUGUAUACUAUUAUUAUAAUAUUAUGUUAUUGGUCACUAUGCUGGACACCAUGUGGCAAAAGGCAUUAAUGUGUAUUUCACAAGCACUACUGUCAUCCCUUAUUGGGUAAGAUUUGUAAAGGUAGGCUGUGCAUAUACACAGUGAACUAUAAGCUAUUUUUCAGAAAUUUCUAAAAUUUGGAUAAAGUUGAUUGAUCUAGGACAGGGGUUU